rnacentral:rRNA from 1 species
UACAGAGGUCCCAAGCGUUGUUCGGAUUCACUGGGCGUAAAGGGUGCGUAGGCGGUCGGGUAAGUCUGAUGUGAAAUCUCACAGCUUAACUGUGGAACUGCUCGGUAUACUGCUGAUCUUGAGCCACUCAGGGGCUACCGGAACAAAUGGUGGAGCGGUGAAAUGCGUAGAUAUCAUUUGGAACGCCAAUGGUGAAAACAGGUAGCUGGGGGUGUGCUGACGCUGAGACACGAAAGCCAGGGGAGCAAACGGG